AAAAAAAAAAGGACACUGCAUAGUGAAGAUGAACUUCUGUUGUAUUGUGUAAAUUAGUUUUGCACUUGUAACACUAAGAUGGUUUGAUAAAAAGAGAUACGUUUGCUUGAAGGAACACACAGUAUCAAAUGGAUUUCUCAUUAAAGGAAAUGGAGGCACAAACAGCUUUUACUCCUACAUUGCCUAUCUUACAUAGCCUUGAGCAUGUGAACACACUUCCAAUAAAGAAAAAGGAAAAGUCACUGGGAACCCACAGAAAGUUGCUCCUUUUUUUUUUCUCUUACACUUCCUUUCAUUUAUAUGUAAUACACGGGUACAUAAAUAGCCCAUGUAACCCUUCUCUUCACCCCCCUUCCGGCCCACCUUCUCUCAAUUAUUUUUUCCAACAGAUAAUCUGAUUUACAACAUAAUUAUGUUCACUAAUUAAUAAUGUGCAGCUCAGGAGAAGGAAAAUCGUUUAGUAUAGAAAAAUUAUGAUGUAGAAUUAAGGAUUCAGAUAUGUGAACAUGUUUUGGUGGAAUAGCAAGUUUCCUACAUUGUCUAACUGUUGGUAACUGUCCAUUAUUACACUUUAGAUCAUGAAUUUAGAGUGCUUUGAUUCAGUCCUUUGGCCAGCAUUCAUUUACCCAGCUUCAGUUUUCCCUUCUUCAAGCUACAAGUCCAAAACACAGUGUACUUCUACAUUUAUUGACUUCAGCAAUAGGACUUGAUGCCUUAGAAAUGUCAUUAUAUGCAAAAUGUCUGCAGAGUGGGGAAGGUAGAAUAACUGGUAGCAACUUUCCUCCAGUGGAAAGUGAAGUCCAAUGCAACAGUAUAAACCUUAAGGUUCUAGGGCAGAUCCCUAGAAAAUGUUCUGUUAUGUGCAUUGUGUUGUGGUGGGUGAGUUUUGUAAAUGAGCUCCUGAACAGUGUUGCCUUGGUGUAAUUGUUACAUAUGUAAACAUAUGUGAAAGGGGAGAAGGCAGUAGUAUAUAAGUCAUAAUGACUGGAAUUUCUUCUUUUAAAAUAUUCCCACAUGUUGAAAGCUACUUUCUUGCACAGUAAAUUGUAUCACAGCAAAUACAUUAUUGAUUAUGUUAUUGUAAAUCGUUUGCAGGUGAGAGAUAUUUUGUAUUAUUACUUGUUCAGAGUCCAACAAUCAUGAGAUAAAAAGGACAAAUUGGAAUUUCACUUGAUGGAGUCCUGCACAUCAGAUAUUCUUCUAUCUGAGGCUGCCAAUAGUGCAGCAGAAAUGCCUCAGUGGUACUAGGUAGAAAACUGACAGCAGCCUGCAUUUCUGGAACUGGACAACAGAAAUCAGACGUAGUGCAAGGGAUCAGUCAAGCCGGCAUGAACAGAUGCUGAAAUUCUCAGAGACCACAAUUUGUCAUCUUAAAAUAUUUCGGAGAAAAUCACUGCAGAAUUUCACAUUCAUCAUGGCUUUAUUUUUUAAUUAAAGAAGAACAGUAAUCAUUAAAAUUAGCUUUUGCAUAUUCAAAAAAUGCCUUUGACCGUAUGUUUGUGCAAAGAAGGAAGGAACUGAAGAGAUAAAUUCCAGUUAUCUCAGUUUUCGAUGGAAAUCGAAAAACGACUUAGAGAAGGUUAAGAAGUAAUGGGGUGAACGUUCUUGAGAAACACUGCAAAAUUACACGGAGCCAUCAUGUUGAACAUGCAGGGCCUAAUCUGAAACCUGCUGAGGUCAAUUAAAAUCUUGAUAUUAAUUUUCUCAGGUUUCAGAUUAACCUCAUCUUUAUUUUGUAGAAUUAUAUUAUGAUGGAUUUUUUCUAUCCUCAGGCUUACAUACUUUUGUCUUCACACUUUCUGUAAAGAUUCCCAAUAAUGCUAUUUUUAAUUUGAUGUUCAAGUUCUACUCCUUCCUGUGAGAAAUACAUUUAUAACACAAAUAGAAGCUGGAAAAUGAUUGUCUGAAGGUGGUGUUCUUAUACCCGCAGUGUUCUUUCUAAAAUGCCAAGUAUUGUUUGAUGGAAAUAUUUAAUAGUUUGACUCUAAAUUAUUUAAAUAAAUAUCCUUCAUUAAAUGAAAUUGCAGAAGUGGUUGUUGUGACUGUGUAAUCAUUUACUCAAAUGACUCAUCCUUGUAGAUAUUUUUCCUUUGUUUCAACCUCUAUUUUCACUAAUAUUUAAUAACUCUGGAUCUAUACUUCAGAACACUAGAUUAUUUUAGACUGUAUGUCUAUCAAAAUACUAAUUAGUCUUAUUUGUGAUACGUCAUUACAGUGAGUUAAGUUUAUCUGUGCUGUGCAUAGGUAUGGGUUUAGUACUGAUUGACUGUUAUUAUGUUGGCUCUGGCUACAUUCCAGCAGUGGUGCAGCUGUAUCUGUACAACUAUGUAUCACACCAAAAUCCCCACAAAUCCAAAACACAGCAGUCUGACUCAUGGGUAUG